UACAGAGGGUGCGAGCGUUAAUCGGAAUUACUGGGCGUAAAGCGUGCGUAGACGGUUAUUUAAGUCGGGUGUGAAAGCCCCGGGCUCAACCUGGGAAUUGCAUUCGAGACUGAAUAGCUGGAGCGGUAGGAGGGAAGUGGGAAUUUCCGGUGUAGCUGGUGAAAUGCGUAGAUAUCGGAAGGAACAUCAAGUGGCGAAAG
rnacentral:rRNA from 1 species